GUACCGUGAGGGAAAGGUGAAAAGUACCCCGGAAGGGGAGUGAAAGAGAACUUGAAACCGUGUGCUUACAAGUAGUCAGAGCCCGUUAAUGGGUGAUGGCGUGCCUUUUGUAGAAUGAACCGGCGAGUUACGAUCUGAUGCAAGGUUAAGCAGAAAAUGUGGAGCCGUAGCGAAAGCGAGUCUGAAUAGGGCGAAUGAGUAUUUGGUCGUAGACCCGAAACCAGGUGAUCUACCCUUGGUCAGGUUGAAGUUCAGGUAACACUGAAUGGAGGACCGAACCGACUUACGUUGAAAAGUGAGCGGAUGAACUGAGGGUAGCGGAGAAAUUCCAAUCGAACUUGGAGAUAGCUGGUUCUCUCCGAAAUAGCUUUAGGGCUAGCCUCAAGUGAUGAUUAUUGGAGGUAGAGCACUGUUUGGACGAGGGGCCCCUCUCGGGUUACCGAAUUCAGACAAACUCCGAAUGCCAAAUAAUUUAACUUGGGAGUCAGAAUGUGGGUGAUAAGGUCCAUAUUCGAAAGGGAAACAGCCCAGACCACCAGCUAAGGUCCCAAAAUAUAUGUUAAGUGGAAAAGGAUGUGGCGUUGCCCAGACAACUAGGAUGUUGGCUUAGAAGCAGCCAUCAUUUAAAGAGUGCGUAAUAGCUCACUAGUCGAGUGACACUGCGCCGAAAAUGUACCGGGGCUAAACAUAUUACCGAAGCUGUGGAUUGUCCUUUGGACAAUGGUAGGAGAGCGUUCUAAGGGCGUUGAAGCAUGAUCGCAAGGACAUGUGGAGCGCUUAGAAGUGAGAAUGCCGGUGUGAGUAGCGAAAGACGGGUGAGAAUCCCGUCCACCGAUUGACUAAGGUUUCCAGAGGAAGGCUCGUCCGCUCUGGGUUAGUCGGGUCCUAAGCUGAGGCCGACAGGCGUAGGCGAUGGAUAACAGGUUGAUAUUCCUGUACCACCAUUAUUCGUUUUAAGCGAUGGGGGGACGCAGUAGGAUAGGCGAAGCGUGCUGUUGGAGUGCACGUCCAAGCAGUGAGAUUGAG
rnacentral:rRNA from 1 species